rnacentral:rRNA from 1 species
UACGUAGGUGGCAAGCGUUGUCCGGAUUUUACUGGGCGUAAAGAGCGUGUAGGCGGCCUGGCAGGUCCGUUUGUGAAAACCCGAGGCUCAACUUCGGGACGUCGAUGGAAACCGCAAGGCUAGAGUCCGGAAGAGGAGAGUGGAAUUCCUGGUGUAGCGGUGAAAUGCGCAGAUAUCAGGAAGAACACCCGUGGCUAAGGCGGUUCUC